UACGUAGGGUGCGAGCGUUAAUCGGAGUUACUGGGCGUAAAGCGUGCGCAGGCGGUUCGUCGUGUCCGAUGUGAAAGCCCCGGGCUCAACCUGGGAAUGGCAUUGGAAACUGGCGGGCUUGAGUGUGGCAGAGGGGGGUGGAAUUCCGCGUGUAGCAGUGAAAUGCGUAGAGAUGCGGAGGAACACCGAUGGCGAAGGCAGCCCCCUGGGCUAACACUGACGCUCAGGCACGAAAGCGUGGGGAGCAAACAGG
rnacentral:rRNA from 1 species